AUUCAUUCUGCCUAUUCUACACGUCCUCUGCAGCAAGAAAACCAAGCCUUCUUUUUCACAACUUCAAUUCAAGAAAACCAGAAUUAAAAUCGGGAAAAGAUUCAUCAUCUACUCUUUCAAAAUCCGUCUGCAAAUUGAAGGUGAUAUCUCGCAAGGGAAUCGUGAACGCAAAGGAAAGAAAAUAGUUUCGGAUUAAGCAAUCGA